UACGGAGGAUCCGAGCGUUAUCCGGAUUUAUUGGGCUUAAAGGGUGCGUAGGUGGCCUGUUAAGUCAGGGGUGAAAGACGGUAGCUCAACUAUCGCAGUGCCCUUGAUACUGAUGGGCUUGAAUGAACUAGAGGUAGGCGGAAUGUGACAAGUAGCGGUGAAAUGCAUAGAUAUGUCGCAGAACACCAAUGGCGAAGGCAGCUUACUAUGGUUUUAUUGACACUGAGGCACGAAAGCGUGGGGAGCAAACAGG
rnacentral:rRNA from 1 species